UACAGAGGGUGCAAGCGUUGUUCGGAAUUAUUGGGCGUAAAGGGCGCGUAGGCGGUGCCACAAGUCACCUGUGAAAUCUCCGGGCUUAACUCGGAGCCUGCAGGCGAAACUGUGGUGCUGGAGUGUGGGAGAGGUGCGUGGAAUUCCCGGUGUAGCGGUGAAAUGCGUUGAUAUCCUCAGGAACACCGGUGGCGAAAGCGGCUCACUGGAUCUCUUCUGACGCUGAGGCACGAAAGCUAGGGUAGCGAACGGG
rnacentral:rRNA from 1 species